rnacentral:rRNA from 1 species
AUGAACGCUGGCGGCGUGCCUAAUACAUGCAAGUCGAGCGAACAGACGAGGAGCUUGCUCCUCUGACGUUAGCGGCGGACGGGUGAGUAACACGUGGAUAACCUACCUAUAAGACUGGGAUAACUUCGGGAAACCGGAGCUAAUACCGGAUAAUAUAUUGAACCGCAUGGUUCAAUAGUGAAAGACGGUUUUGCUGUCACUUAUAGAUGGAUCCGCGCCGCAUUAGCUAGUUGGUAAGGUAACGGCUUACCAAGGCGACGAUGCGUAGCCGACCUGAGAGGGUGAUCGGCCACACUGGAACUGAGACACGGUCCAGACUCCUACCGGAGGCAGCAGUAGGGAAUCUUCCGCAAUGGGCGAAAGCCUGACGGAGCAACGCCGCGUGAGUGAUGAAGGUCUUCGGAUCGUAAAACUCUGUUAUUAGGGAAGAACAAAUGUGUAAGUAACUAUGCACGUCUUGACGGUACCUAAUCAGAAAGCCACGGCUAACUACGUG